UACGGGAGGCAGCAGUGGGGAAUAUUGCACAAUGGGCGCAAGCCUGAUGCAGCGACGCCGCGUGAGGGAUGACGGCCUUCGGGUUGUAAACCUCUUUCGUCAGGGAACAAGGCACUACGUUUUGGUGGUGUUGAGGGUACCUGGAUAAGAAACGCCGGCUAACUACGUGCCAGCAGCCGCGGUAAU
rnacentral:rRNA from 2 species